CACAAGCGGUGGAGCAUGUGGUUAAUUCGAAGCAACGCGAAGAACCUUACCAGGGCUUGACAUCCCCUGACCGCGUAUGAAAGUACGUUUUCACCCUCGGGUGACAGGGAGACAGGUGGUGCAUGGUUGUCGUCAGCUCGUGUCGUGAGAUGUUGGGUUAAGUCCCGCAACGAGCGCAACCCCUACGUUUAGUUGCUAACGCGUGAAGGCGAGCACUCUAGACGAACUGCCGUUGACAAAACGGAGGAAGGUGGGAUGACGUCAAAUCAUCAUGCCCCUUAUGUUCUGGGCUACACACGUGCUACAAUGGCCGGUACAGACGGACGCAAAGCCGCGAGGUGGAGCAAAUCCUAAAAAGCCGGUCUCAGUUCGGAUUGCAGGCUGCAAUUCGCCUGCAUGAAGUCGGAAUCGCUAGUAAUCGCAGGUCAGCAUACUGCGGUGAAUACGUUCCCGGGCCUU
rnacentral:rRNA from 1 species